UCUCCGUAGGUGAACCUGCGGAGGGAUCAUUAACACGUUCCAAACCAAUCUAUUAACCCAACUGCGAACUUCGUAUCCGCCUCACUGUCUUGCAAGGCGAGGUGAGGCUGGAGCCAGGAUGAAGGUGGGAGGCCGCCAGCUUCGUUGUGUCAAUGACAGCCAGCUAGCAGCAGCUCAUACGGCUUCAGUCUCGAUGGCUGCCCUCAUCAAUGGGAGCGGCCUGCCUCGCAGUGUGAGACGAGGCCAACCAUAUAUGCGGUCAGCGCGUGUCAUCGACGCUGCUCGUCAUAUCCACACGCCCGUUCUCGUGGUUGCGCGGUGUGCACCGCACAGCAUGCGCCCGAGAAUGACUCUCUAUAAACUGUUGAUGUUGGGGCUUGUGGCUGCUUGUCAGCCCUGGCCUCUGUCUCAGCUCUCGUGUACCGAGCAGCUGACGAUUAUUUACGAAUAAACAACAACUCUUAGCAAUGGAUAUCUUGGUUCUC
rnacentral:misc_RNA from 1 species